rnacentral:rRNA from 1 species
UUAAAUUGAAGAGUUUGAUCAUGGCUCAGAUUGAACGCUGGCGGCAGGCCUAACACAUGCUAGUCGAACGGUAACAGGAAGCAGCUUGCUGCUUU